GAUGAACGCUGGCGGCGUGCCUAAUACAUGCAAGUCGAGCGAACAGACGAGGAGCUUGCUCCUCUGACGUUAGCGGCGGACGGGUGAGUAACACGUGGAUAACCUACCUAUAAGACUGGGAUAACUUCGGGAAACCGGAGCUAAUACCGGAUAAUAUAUUGAACCGCAUGGUUCAAUAGUGAAAGACGGUUUUGCUGUCACUUAUAGAUGGAUCCGCGCCGCAUUAGCUAGUUGGUAAGGUAACGGCUUACCAAGGCAACGAUGCGUAGCCGACCUGAGAGGGUGAUCGGCCACACUGGAACUGAGACACGGUCCAGACUCCUACGGGAGGCAGCAGUAGGGAAUCUUCCGCAAUGGGCGAAAGCCUGACGGAGCAACGCCGCGUGAGUGAUGAAGGUCUUCGGAUCGUAAAACUCUGUUAUUAGGGAAGAACAAAUGUGUAAGUAACUAUGCACGUCUUGACGGUACCUAAUCAGGAAACCACGGCUAACUACGU
rnacentral:rRNA from 1 species